AUGUAUGUAUGCACAUGUAUAUUCUAUAAAUUAAAAACCAUAUUGCAGUUUAUGACUUGCAUUGAUUUAGUGACGCAUCCGUAAGUCCCCAAGUCCAGCGCCGCAACUCCGGAUCCAACAAGAUAAUCAUGGAGCGUAUUCCACAUUCCCAAAUUAAAGAGCAUUAUUAUUAACCUUUAACAUUUUCACGCUCGAAAGUUAUGAGAAGCAAAAUCAACAAAUUAUUCAGAAAGUCGGCUGGAAAAGGGAAUGCGGAUAGCUAAGGAAUGUUGCUGUACAGUGAGGCGUGACUAAUCAGGCAACGAAACUUUUGCCGGCUGCUAAUUGCCGUGAAGGCGCCGCAACUGUCCAUAGAUAUACAUAUAUGUACAUACAUAUACUUUAUAUGCAUAUAUGUAUGUAUGUAUGUAUAUGUAUGUACAUAGCUGCGCAUAUAGAAUGUGUGAGUCAUUAAGGCUUGCGGCAAUGCAAAUUGCUGCAACAAGUGCAGCAGGAUUUUUAGCUCUCUUUCUCCGCAGCUUAAUUAUCAUAGCGCACAGCUUCCAGCACCCGCUCCCAACUCCGACUCCGACUCUGUGUGUACAACCAAUCAGCGUAUGCAAGGCGCUAAAUGAGCAGCGAGUGGAGUGGAGUUGCCUUGCCAAGUGUCACCAGCAGCUUGAGGGGGGCAGCGGGCGGCCGCAAGGAGGCGGCUAAAGUGUUGCGCUAAUUUUAUAUGCAAAUUAUGGCAAAAGCGCGGCUUGUAUGCUAAUUUCGACUCGACUCGGACUGCGAAUCAGACGCAGACGCAGUCUCAGUCUGAGUCCCAAGCUCCGUCUCAGUCUCAACUGCUGCGGCCCUGCCUCUGCACUUAACACUCUUUUUUAAUGAUGUAUGGUCUGCAUGCAUAUGCCAAAUAUUUGGAGAAUGCAGC